GCCGGGAACUCAAAGGAGACUGCCAGUGAUAAACUGGAGGAAGGUGGGGAUGACGUCAAGUCAUCAUGGCCCUUACGAGUAGGGCUACACACGUGCUACAAUGGCAUAUACAAAGAGAAGCGACCUCGCGAGAGCAAGCGGACCUCAUAAAGUAUGUCGUAGUCCGGAUUGGAGUCUGCAACUCGACUCCCUGAAGUCGGAAUCGCUCGUAAUCGUGGAUCAGAAUGCCACGGUGAAUACGUUCCCGGGCCUUGUACACACCGCCCGUCACACCAUGGGAGUGGGUUGCAAAAGAAGUAGGUAGCUUAACCUUCGGGAGGGCGCUUACCACUUUGUGAUUCAU
rnacentral:rRNA from 1 species